rnacentral:lncRNA from 14 species
CCUAUGCUUAAAGGCUUACCCCCUUACUCACCCAAACAUGACUCUAGCCCAUUCCAGCAACUACAGAUACUUCAGCAGGGGCUCCACGUGCAUUUUGCUACAUCUCCUGACACUUACAAUUAAGGAAUUCACCAUUCAAAGCAAAAAUGUUUCCAUGGGUGCCAAAUAUCACUCCACUGAGCCAUUUUCUGAUUAAUAAUUUAUCAAUACAAGGGAAUCCCGACUACCAUUCUUCUGAGGUCAAAACCAGCCAAGCUUCCUGCUGGAGACAGCAGGAGUGACCACCCAAACCCCUGUCACUCCCCACAUCACCACAGAAUAAGCUGCAGAUUCGCCACACUCACAGCAGAAAAAUAAAGCUUUAACUUCAAAGGAUGUCA